rnacentral:rRNA from 1 species
UAGGGAAUCUUCGGCAAUGGGGGCAACCCUGACCGAGCAACGCCGCGUGAGUGAAGAAGGUUUUCGGAUCGUAAAGCUCUGUUGUAAGAGAAGAACGUGUGUGAGAGUGGAAAGUUCACACAGUGACGGUAACUUACCAGAAAGGGACGGCUAACUACGUGCCAGCAGCCGCGGUAAUACGUAGGUCCCGAGCGUUGUCCGGAUUUAUUGGGCGUAAAGCGAGCGCAGGCGGUUUAAUAAGUCUGAAGUUAAAGGCAGUGGCUUAACCAUUGUUCGCUUUGGAAACUGUUAAACUUGAGUGCAGAAGGGGAGAGUGGAAUUCCAUGUGUAGCGGUGAAAUGCGUAGAUAUAUGGAGGAACACCGGUGGCGAAAGCGGUUCUCUGGUCUGUAACUGACGCUGAGGCUCGAAAGCGUGGGGAGCAAACAGGAUUAGAUACCCUGGUAGUCCACGCCGUAAACGAUGAGUGCUAGGUGUUAGGCCCCUUCCGGGGCUUAGUGCCGCAGCUAACGCAUUAAGCACUCCGCCUGGGGAGUACGACCGCAAGGUUG